rnacentral:rRNA from 1 species
UUUAUGGAGAGUUUGAUCCUGGCUCAGAGUGAACGCUGGCGGCGUGCCUAAUACAUGCAAGUCGAACGAUGAAGCUUCUAGCUUGCUAGAGUGCUGAUUAGUGGCGCACGGGUGAGUAACGCAUAGGUUAUGUGCCUCUUAGUUUGGGAUAGCCAUUGGAAACGAUGAUUAAUACCAGAUACUCCCUACGGGGGAAAGAUUUAUCGCUAAGAGAUCAGCCUAUGUCCUAUCAGCUUGUUGGUAAGGUAAUGGCUUACCAAGGCUAUGACGGGUAUCCGGCCUGAGAGGGUGAACGGACACACUGGAACUGAGACACGGUCCAGACUCCUACGGGAGGCAGCAGUAGGGAAUAUUGCUCAAUGGGGGAAACCCUGAAGCAGCAACGCCGCGUGGAGGAUGAAGGUUUUAGGAUUGUAAACUCCUUUUGUUAGAGAAGAUAAUGACGGUAUCUAACGAAUAAGCACCGGCUAACUCCGUGCCAGCAGCCGCGGUAAUACGGAGGGUGCAAGCGUUACUCGGAAUCACUGGGCGUAAAGAGCGCGUAGGCGGGAUAGUCAGUCAGGUGUGAAAUCCUAUGGCUUAACCAUAGAACUGCAUUUGAAACUACUAUUCUAGAGUGUGGGAGAGGUAGGUGGAAUUCUUGGUGUAGGGGUAAAAUCCGUAGAGAUCAAGAGGAAUACUCAUUGCGAAGGCGACCUGCUGGAACAUUACUGACGCUGAUUGCGCGAAAGCGUGGGGAGCAAACAGGAUUAGAUACCCUGGUAGUCCACGCCCUAAACGAUGGAUGCUAGUUGUUGGAGGGCUUAGUCUCUCCAGUAAUGCAGCUAACGCAUUAAGCAUCCCGCCUGGGGAGUACGGUCGCAAGAUUAAAACUCAAAGGAAUAGACGGGGACCCGCACAAGCGGUGGAGCAUGUGGUUUAAUUCGAAGAUACACGAAGAACCUUACCUAGGCUUGACAUUGAGAGAAUCCGCUAGAAAUAGUGGAGUGUCUGGCUUGCUAGACCUUGAAAACAGGUGCUGCACGGCUGUCGUCAGCUCGUGUCGUGAGAUGUUGGGUUAAGUCCCGCAACGAGCGCAACCCCCUUUCUUAGUUGCUAACAGGUUAUGCUGAGAACUCUAAGGAUACUGCCUCCGUAAGGAGGAGGAAGGUGGGGACGACGUCAAGUCAUCAUGGCCCUUACGCCUAGGGCUACACACGUGCUACAAUGGGGUGCACAAAGAGAAGCAAUACUGCGAAGUGGAGCCAAUCUUCAAAACACCUCUCAGUUCGGAUUGCAGGCUGCAACUCGCCUGCAUGAAGCUGGAAUCGCUAGUAAUCGCAAAUCAGCCAUGUUGCGGUGAAUACGUUCCCGGGUCUUGUACUCACCGCCCGUCACACCAUGGGAGUUGUGUUUGCCUUAAGUCAGGAUGCUAAAUUGGCUACUGCCCACGGCACACACAGCGACUGGGGUGAAGUCGUAACAAGGUAACCGUAGGUGAACCUGCGGUUGGAUCACCUCCUUUCUAGA